rnacentral:misc_RNA from 1 species
AGGGUUCCUUUGAGAAAAUUUGAUGACAAAUCGAUAUAUGUCAAAAUGGUGCAAUUAGUUAAAGAAUUAAACAAACUCAAGUCAUCUUGCAGUUGAUUCUGGGCAAAUUCAAGAUACACAAGAUGCUGCAGCAUUCCGAAUUCUUUGGGAACUAAGCCAGAAAAUCUAUUAGACGGAAUGGAAAUUUGGUAAAGGGCAGAAGCAUUUGACAAUGAAAUUGGGAUGGGUCCAGUAAACCUAUUGUAUGAAAAAUCAAGGGCUAUCAGAUUUGGAAGAGUGAGGCCCAUAUCAGAAGGGAGUCUUCCAUGCAGUUGGUUAUUGCCUACUGAUAUGUAGGAAAUGCUGGAGAUGUUGAAGAGACCAGGAGGGAUCUCGCCAAUUAGAUUAAUAUCUGUAACCACAAAAUAUUCUAAGUUCCCAAGACGAGAGAUUUCCUCUGGAAUCUGUCCGUGCAAAUCAUUUUCUCCUA